UACGUAGGGUGCGAGCGUUAAUCGGAAUUACUGGGCGUAAAGGGCGCGUAGGCGGAAUGGCAAGUCGGUCGUGAAAUCCUUCGGCUCAACCGAAGAACGUCGAUCGAAACUGCCGUUCUUGAGGAUUGCAGAGGAGACUGGAAUUCCCGGUGUAGCGGUGAAAUGCGUAGAUAUCUGGAGGAACACCGGUGGCGAAGGCGGCAUCCUGGACCAAUUCUGACGCUGAGUGAGCGAAAGCCAGGGGAGCAAACGGG
rnacentral:rRNA from 1 species